GACGUAGGGGGCCAGCGUUGUCCGGAAUUACUGGGCGUAAAGAGCUCGUAGGUGGUUUGUCGCGUUGUUCGUGAAAACUCACAGCUUAACUGUGGGCGUGCGGGCGAUACGGGCAGACUGGAGUACUGCAGGGGAGACUGGAAUUCCUGGUGUAGCGGUGGAAUGCGCAGAUAUCAGGAGGAACACCGGUGGCGAAGGCGGGUCUCUGGGCAGUAACUGACGCUGAGGAGCGAAAGCGUGGGGAGCGAACAGG
rnacentral:rRNA from 1 species